rnacentral:lncRNA from 1 species
AGCGAAACAACAAUUCAAUAUGCUUCUGACCAGAAAAAAGUUUGUCUAUUGUUAUACAUUUUCUCCCUUUUAUUUUCUUGCAGUCUGACCAUCUACAGUAUUCAUCGGACUUGUAAAACUUUCCAUAGUAAAAUGACAAUAUUUCUCCCAUCACUUUGUUCUCUAGAAAUCUUUUUAUCUGAACAAAGUUUUUCCCGAAGAUAAAUAAACCAAGGAGAAAGCUUUUUACAUCAGCAUCACUCCACGAGUUAUUCCAAUUAGCUUAUGCUAUUGGUACAGUUAUAUUGACUGCACCAUCACUGUGUCCAAGAUAUCUCCCCAUCGCUCUUCUCUUCAUUGUUGGCUUGUGAACGAAUUCAGCCUUUGAAGACCCAUUGGUGGUAUUAAUUGAAUAGGACUGUAGCAAUAUUAUGCAGCGUCCAUCUAAAAGGAAGCUAAUUCCUCCGAGUGGUCUUGAUAUAAGCUACAUAGAUACAG